rnacentral:rRNA from 1 species
AUGCAAACAUGUUUCAAACCAAGGAGAGGAAUUAAACACAGUGAAAUAACAUACAUCAAUCAGAGGAGAUCCAAUCAAACCCAUACAGAUAAUUUUGAUUUCUCAUCAAUUUCCAUUACCUCGUCAGCAACAUACAUUAAUCAGAGGAGGUCCAAUCAAACCCACCCAGUUAAUUUUGAUUUCUCAUCAAUUUUCAUUACCUCAUCAGCAACAUACCUUCCUAUUCAGGAUGUGAUGAUAAGCUAUGUCAUGAGGGAUAUGCUUUCAACAAAUACGGGUAAAAACUUCCCAAAAAAGACCGCCAAUCUUAUGCAUGGAUACCAGGAUUACAUUACACAGUCAAACUAG